rnacentral:lncRNA from 1 species
GAUACCAAACAUUUCCCCACAGGGUGACAUAAUAAUUCAACCUUGAGUUUCAAAGCUCUUAGCAGUACCAAUCUAUCAGAGGAGAGGAAGCUCUCAAGGUCACCAUGGAUAGGAUUACAAAGAUCAAGUUCCUGUUAUAACCAUUCCUUUUGGCUAAAUGAAAACACCAAGAAGCGAAUCUAUUGAAAAGGGGGAUUUCUUUGAAACAGCAGCUUUUUACCAUGGAAGAAUGGCGCCCAUUUGUUGGCAUAUGCCCUAUUAUUCAUGAGGACCCUUACUGGCUGGUUGAUCGUCUCCAUCUGGAAGCUGAGGCCUCUUCAACUGCUGAGGCAAGAGAAGUACUCUGAAAGGUCUGGUAGCAAAUCCAGUUGGUGCCUCCCUAAUAUACAUUAUCAUGGGAUCAUCUGCUGUGACAUAGAGAUCUAUCAGUGCCCACUUUGUGAAAGAAACGUGAUUUCCUCAUUGCUUACAGCUCUUCUGCUAGGACUGAGACUUUGGGCGCUCCUUCCUGCUACGUUCUGGAAUUUGUAACUUACUUUGUGAAGGUCUCACAUAGCAGACCACAGAUACUGUGUGUAUGCAUGCAUAGUUCAUUUAUGUAAAAGCCAUGCAAUGCUGAGGACACCAUUUCACAGUGCUCCUCCUGAUCUUCUGUCUCUUAUAUUUUUCCAGUCCAGCUUCCUAAUGUUUCCUAAGUUCUAUUGGAGGAGAUUUACACAGAUAUCCCAAUAUGGCUGAGCUCAUAGUCACAUUUUUUUUCUCAACACUUGAAGAGUACUAUGUCUCUGCACUAGCCACCACCUACUGUGCUAAGAAGCUGUGCUAACAGAUGUUGGUAAUAUCACAGACCUGUGGAUAUAGACAUAGGUAUUUAGAAAGUAGUCUGGUGACCUGAUCAUUUAGAAAAACUUUAUCAACGGGUUCCUCAAAGGGUCUUUGACUUAAGUUUCCACUUGCGUGAUGCAUGGCAUUGGAAAUGAGCCUUUGUAAAUACAUCGGUAAAAAUUUUGGUGCAUAAUAGAUAUUUCACAAAUAUCAUAGAACUAAAUACUGUGUAAAAGUUGGUGUAAAAGAAAUAAUUUAUUCAUUUGAUGGCAUAAGUGCCAUCUUGUAAUAAAAUUUAUACUGCUAUAAAGAAAACUGUUUGCAGACACUAAUUCUUACAACAUGGAUCUAUUAAAAAAAAAAAAGCCAGGCAAUUCAAGGUCAAAAAUGCUAAGCAGAUUUGGGAAAAUGGAAGAAACUUUAUUGAAAAGAGGACUGGACAAUUAACAUUGCUGACAAAGUAACUGGUAUUUGAAUAAAAAAAAAUCAGAAUCUAAGUUUAGAGAAAGGAUGAUGAAAAAAUUCCAAGGUUUUCUUUUCUUCUUUAGCUAGCGAUGCAGCCAUUUUUUGAUGCCAACAUUUUUGCCAGAAUUUGUUUCUAUAUGUUAUUCUGCUUAGGGAUUUUAUUUCUCUUUCAGAUGUCAGACAAUGUGAUUCAAGCUUUGACAUGAGUACGAAUUACCCAGGGAUCCCACUGAUAAUGUAGACUGAGAUUUGCUAGUCUAGAGUGUGGCUCAUUUUUCUGCAUUGCCAGUAAGCUCCCCUGUGGCUCCAAGGCUUUGGGGUCGUGUACCACGUAUGCGAUAAGGAGGGUUUAAGGCAGAGGCUCAUAUUCUGCUGCGCUCUGGAUAACCAGGGGAUCUUUAUAAACUACUGGUGUUUUCUCAGAGUUAAUUGGGUUGGGAUUUUUCUUCACUUUGGGAUUUAAAAAUUGCCCAGAUAUUUCAGAUGGAUAGAAAACUUGAGGAACAAUAAUUUAGAGAAUAUUUAAAAUGAUUACAUAGUUUUUCCCAUGCAAAUUGUUAAAUACUUGCCUUGUUAUUUUGAUUAAAGGACAUGAAUAAAAUAAUGGUGUUAUCAUA